rnacentral:rRNA from 1 species
UACGGAGGGAGCUAGCGUUGUUCGGAAUUACUGGGCGUAAAGCGCACGUAGGCGGCUUUUUAAGUUAGAGGUGAAAGCCCGGAGCUCAACUCCGGAAUUGCCUUUAAGACUGCAUCGCUUGAAUCCAGGAGAGGUGAGUGGAAUUCCGAGUGUAGAGGUGAAAUUCGUAGAUAUUCGGAAGAACACCAGUGGCGAAGGCGGCUCACUGGACUGGUAUUGACGCUGAGGUGCGAAAGCGUGGGGAGCAAACAGG